CUACGUGCCAGCAGCCGCGGUAAUACGUAGGUGGCGAGCGUUGUCCGGAAUUAUUGGGCGUAAAGGGAGCGCAGGCGGACAUAUAAGUCCAUCUUAAAAGUGCGGGGCUCAACCCCGUGAGGGGAUGGAAACUGUAUGCCUUGAGUGCAGGAGAGGAAAGCGGAAUUCCCAGUGUAGCGGUGAAAUGCGUAGAUAUUGGGAGGAACACCAGUGGCGAAGGCGGCUUUCUGGACUGUAACUGACGCUGAGGCUCGAAAGCCAGGGGAGCGAACGGGAUUAGAUACUCCGGUAGUCCUGGCCGUAAACGAUGAAUGCUAGGUGUAGGAGGUAUCGACCCCUCCUGUGCCGGAGUUAACGCAAUAAGCAUUCCGCCUGGGGAGUACGGUCGCAAGACUGAAACUCAAAGGAAUUGACGGGGGCCCGCACAAGCGGUGGAGUAUGUGGUUUAAUUCGACGCAACGCGAAGAACCUUACCAGGGCUU
rnacentral:rRNA from 1 species